GGCCUCCUGGUGCUUACCACAGGCUGCUCUUACACUGACUGUACAGAAAGAAGGAGGCAAAGUAAACCUACUCCAUUUACACCUCAGCUCAGGCCCUGUGUCUGACCCAUACUGUGUAUGUGGAGACAUGG
rnacentral:snoRNA from 1 species